AUGGCCGCCGCCACCUCCACCGUCUCCGGCCUCGCCGGCGCCGCGCUCGCCCGCCGGCCAGCCUUCUCUACCAGCUUCACGAGUGGCGGCCGGGUGUCGGCGAGGAACCCGCUGAUGACGAGGAACCUGGAGAGGAACGGCAGGAUCACCUGCAUGACGUUCCCGCGGGACUGGCUGCGGAGGGACCUGAACGUGAUCGGGUUCGGGCUGAUCGGGUGGCUGGCGCCGUCGAGCAUCCCGCUGAUCAACGGCAACAGCUUGACGGGGCUCUUCUUCUCCAGCAUCGGCGAGGAGCUCGCCCACUUCCCCUCACCCCCGGCUCUCCAGUCGCAGUUCUGGCUGUGGUUGGUGACGUGGCACCUGGGUCUGUUCAUCGCGCUCACCUUCGGCCAGAUCGGGUUCAAGGGCAGGACCGAGGACUACUUCCAGAAGUAG
rnacentral:rRNA from 1 species